rnacentral:rRNA from 1 species
CCUACGGGUGGCAGCAGUGAGGAAUAUUGGUCAAUGGACGAGAGUCUGAACCAGCCAAGUAGCGUGAAGGAUGACUGCCCUGUGGGUUGUAAACGUCUUUUAUAUGGGAAUAAAAUGUUCCACGUGUGGGAUUUCGGAUGUACCAUAUGAAGAAGGAUUGGCUAACUCCGUGACAGCAGCCGCGGGAAUACGGAGGAUCCGAGGGUUAGGCGGAUUUGUUGGGUUUAAAGGGAGCGUAGGUGGGUUGUUAAGUCAGUUGUGAAAGUUUGCGGCUCAACCGUAAAAUUGCAGUUGAAACUGGCAGUCUUGAGUACGGUAGAGGUGGGCGGAAUUCGUGGUGUAGCGGUGAAAUGCUUAGAUAUCACGAAGAACUCCGAUUGCGAAGGCAGCUCACUGGACUUCAACUGACACUGAGGCUCGAAAGUGUGGGUAUCAAACAGGAUUAGAUACCCUAGUAGUC